rnacentral:rRNA from 1 species
CCCUUAGAUGUCCUGGGCCGCACGCGCGUUACACUGAUGCAUUCAACGAGCUUAUAACCUUGGCCGAGAGGCCUGGGCAAUCUUGUUAACGUGCAUCGUGAUAGGGAUAGAUUAUUGAAAUUAUUAAUCUUGAACGAGGAAUUCCUAGUAAACGCAGAUCAUCAAUCUGCAUUGAUUACGUCCCUGCCCUUUGUACACACCGCCCGUCGCACCUACCGAUUGGACGGUCCGGUGAAGCCUCGGGAUUGUGGUUCUUGCCGCUUUAUUGUAGCGUGACCGCGAGAACUUGUCUAAACCUUAUCAUCUAGAGGAAGGUGAAGUCGUAACA